AUGGCAUGAUGUGGACAUUGUCUCUCCAACUCCUUCCAUCUCAUCCAUGACUCAUAAAGAGUCUCAUCUUCUCUUGGUCUAAAAGCAAUCAUUUGAUUCCUCAACUCU